rnacentral:misc_RNA from 1 species
UCUCCGUAGGUGAACCUGCGGAGGGAUCAUUACCGAGCUCAUGCCCUACCGGGUAGAUCUCCCACCCUUUGUUAUUAUUACCUUUGUUGCUUUGGCGGGCCGCCGCGCUCCGGCCUGGCUACCGGCUCCGGCCGGUAAGCGCCCGCCAGAGGACCCCAAACCCUGAAUGUUAGUGUCGUCUGAGUACUAUAUAAUAGUUAAAACUUUCAACAACGGAUCUCUUGGUUCUG